ACAAAAUUACUGUGCAAAGAUUUUCCUUGGUCAAGAGUGCAACCAGCAACAUGAGCUGCUGUGGAUAUGAACUUUACUGUCAGAGAAAAAUUGGAAUUGAACAAGAUUUCUGCAGAGAGAUUUUCCUUGGUCAAGAGUGCAACCAGCCACAUGAGCUGCUGUGGAUAUGAACUUUACUGUCAGAGGAAAAUUGGAAUUGAACAAGAUUUCUGUAGAGAGAAUGAAUGAAGUUGAAGAAAGUUGAAAGGCACCCCUGAAGAACCUGAAUUAUUUCAGCCCUAUCCUAGAUUCAUUAAUUAAUAUAUUUUAGUGUGUGAUAACAUGUGUGAAAUGUGAUCAAUUAUGU